GGUUAAGCGACUAAGCGUACACGGUGGAUGCCCUGGCAGUCAGAGGCGAUGAAGGACGUGCUAAUCUGCGAUAAGCGCCGGUAAGGUGAUAUGAACCGUUAUAACCGGCGAUUUCCGAAUGGGGAAACCCAGUGUGACUCGUCACACUAUCAUUAACUGAAUCCAUAGGUUAAUGAGGCGAACCGGGGGAACUGAAACAUCUAAGUACCCCGAGGAAAAGAAAUCAACCGAGAUUCCCCCAGUAGCGGCGAGCGAACGGGGAGGAGCCCAGAGCCUGAAUCAGCAUGUGUGUUAGUGGAAGCGUCUGGAAAGGCGCGCGAUACAGGGUGACAGCCCCGUACACAAAAGCGCAUGUGCUGUGAGCUCGAUGAGUAGGGCGGGACACGUGGUAUCCUGUCUGAAUAUGGGGGGACCAUCCUCCAAGGCUAAAUACUCCUGACUGACCGAUAGUGAACCAGUACCGUGAGGGAAAGGCGAAAAGAACCCCGGCGAGGGGAGUGAAAAAGAACCUGAAACCGUGUACGUACAAGCAGUGGGAGCACAGGUUUACCUGUGUGACUGCGUACCUUUUGUAUAAUGGGUCAGCGACUUAUAUUCUGUAGCAAGGUUAACCGAAUAGGGGAGCCGGAGGGAAACCGAGUCUUAACCGGGCGUUAAGUUGCAGGGUAUAGACCCGAAACCCGGUGAUCUAGCCAUGGGCAGGUUGAAGGUUGGGUAACACUAACUGGAGGACCGAACCGACUAAUGUUGAAAAAUUAGCGGAUGACCUGUGGCUGGGGGUGAAAGGCCAAUCAAACCGGGAGAUAGCUGGUUCUCCCCGAAAGCUAUUUAGGUAGCGCCUCGUGAAUUCAUCUCCGGGGGUAGAGCACUGUUUCGGCUAGGGGGCCAUCCCGGCUUACCAACCCGAUGCAAACUGCGAAUACCGGAGAAUGUUAUCACGGGAGACACACGGCGGGUGCUAACGUCCGUCGUGAAGAGGGAAACAACCCAGACCGCCAGCUAAGGUCCCAAAGUCAUGGUUAAGUGGGAAACGAUGUGGGAAGGCCCAGACAGCCAGGAUGUUGGCUUAGAAGCAGCCAUCAUUUAAAGAAAGCGUAAUAGCUCACUGGUCGAGUCGGCCUGCGCGGAAGAUGUAACGGGGCUAAACCAUGCACCGAAGCUGCGGCAGCGACGCUGAUGCGUUGUUGGGUAGGGGAGCGUUCUGUAAGCCUGUGAAGGUGGCCUGUGAG
rnacentral:rRNA from 1 species